CCCCUGCCCCUGUCACCUCUUCUCCAGCCCCAGAGCCAACUCCAGCCUCAAACCCUGUGCCGCCACCACAGACUCCUGAGCCAGACACUGAGAGAAGCCAGUCUACAGUCAGUAAUGGGAGGAACACACCUGGGGGUACGAGAAAAGAGGUGACGUGGGAGGACCAGCAGAGGAAGGCUAAUGGU